UGGUAAACAAAACAUGGUGGCUCACAACC
rnacentral:piRNA from 1 species